rnacentral:rRNA from 1 species
AUUGAACGCUGGCGGCAUGCUUUACACAUGCAAGUCGAACGGUAACAGGCCUUCGGGUGCUGACGAGUGGCGAACGGGUGAGUAAUGCAUCGGAACGUGCCCAAUCGUGGGGGAUAACGCAGCGAAAGUUACGCUAAUACCGCAUAAGCCCUGAGGGGGAAAGCAGGGGAUCGCAAGACCUUGCGCGAAUGGAGCGGCCGAUGUCAGAUUAGCUAGUUGGUGGGGUAAACGGCCUACCAAGGCGACGAUCUGUAGCGGGUCUGAGAGGAUGAUCCGCCACACUGGGACUGAGACACGGCCCAGACUCCUACGGGAGGCAGCAGUGGGGAAUUUUGGACAAUGGGCGCAAGCCUGAUCCAGCCAUGCCGCGUGCGGGACGAAGGCCUCGG